rnacentral:tRNA from 1 species
GGUAUGAUGGCUGAGGG